rnacentral:rRNA from 1 species
UACGUAGGGGGCAAGCGUUGUCCGGAAUCAUUGGGCGUAAAGCGCGUGUAGGCGGCUUGGUAAGUCCGCUCUGAAAGCCCGGGGCUCAACCCCGGGAGGCGGGUGGAUACUGUCAAGCUCGAGUCCGGAAGAGGCGAGUGGAAUUCCUGGUGUAGCGGUGAAAUGCGUAGAUAUCGGGAGGAACACCAGUGGCGAAGGCGACUUCCUGGCCUGUUCUUGACGCUGAGGCGCGAAAGCUAGGGGAGCAAACGGG